CAGCCGCCGCGGUAAUACGUAGGUGGCAAGCGUUGUCCGGAUUUAUUGGGCGUAAAGCGAGCGCAGGCGGUCAAUUAGGUCUGAUGUGAAAGCCCCCGGCUCAACCGGGGAGGGUCAUUGGAAACUGGUUGACUUGAGUGCAGAAGAGGAGAGUGGAAUUCCAUGUGUAGCGGUGAAAUGCGUAGAUAUAUGGAGGAACACCAGUGGCGAAGGCGACUCUCUGGUCUGUAACUGACGCUGAGGCUCGAAAGCGUGGGUAGCAAACAGGAUUAGAUACCCCAGUAGUCCCUGUCUCUUAUAC
rnacentral:rRNA from 1 species